rnacentral:rRNA from 1 species
GCAUAUCAAUAAGCGGAGGAAAAGAAACUAACAAGGAUUCCCCCAGUAACGGCGAGUGAAGUGGGAAAAGCUCAACUUUGAAAUCUGGCUGUUUUACAGUCCGAGUUGUAGUCUCGAGAAGUGUUUUCCGCGUUAAACCGUGUAUGAGUCUGUUGGAACACAGCGUCAUAGAGGGUGAGAACCCCGUUCAUGACACGGCUUUUAAUGCUUUGUGAUACACUUUCGAUGAGUCGAGUUGUUUGGGAAUGCAGCUCAAAUUGGGUGGUAAAUUCCAUCUAAAGCUAAAUAUUGGCGAGAGACCGAUAGCAAACAAGUACCGUGAGGGAAAGAUGAAAAGCACUUUGGAAAGAGAGUUAAAAGUACGUGAAAUUGUCGAAAGGGAAACGCUUGAAGUCAGACGUGCACGGGAUUUAUUCCUAUUGCAGGCCAACAUCGGUUUUACGAGCCGGAUAAAGGUACAAGGAAGGUAGCAGUUUCGGCUGUGUUAUAGCCUCGUACUGAAUACGGAUUGUGAGACCGAGGGACGCAGCGCGCCGCAAGGCAAAGGGUCCGCCCUUUUCGCGCUUAGGAUGUUG